rnacentral:rRNA from 1 species
AACGAACGCUGGCGGCAGGCUUAACACAUGCAAGUCGAGCGCCCCGCAAGGGGAGCGGCAGACGGGUGAGUAACGCGUGGGAAUCUACCCAUCUCUACGGAAUAACGCAUGGAAACGUGUGCUAAUACCGUAUACGUCCUUCGGGAGAAAGAUUUAUCGGAGAUGGAUGAGCCCGCGUUGGAUUAGCUAGUUGGUGGGGUAAAGGCCUACCAAGGCGACGAUCCAUAGCUGGUCUGAGAGGAUGAUCAGCCACACUGGGACUGAGACACGGCCCAGACUCCUACGGGAGGCAGCAGUGGGGAAUAUUGGACAAUGGGCGCAAGCCUGAUCCAGCCAUGCCGCGUGAGUGAUGAGGGCCCUAGGGUUGUAAAGCGCUUUCACCGGUGAAGAUAAUGACGGUAACCGGAGAAGAAGCCCCGGCUAACUUCGUGCCAGCCGCCGCGGUAAUAC